CCUACGGGAGGCAGCAGUGGGGAAUAUUGGACAAUGGGCGAAAGCCUGAUCCAGCCAUGCCGCGUGUGUGAAGAAGGCCUUCGGGUUGUAAAGCACUUUCAGUGGGGAAGAAAGCCUUGGGGCUAAUACCCUCGAGGAAGGACAUCACCCACAGAAGAAGCACCGGCUAACUCCGUGCCAGCAGCCGCGGUAAUACGGAGGGUGCGAGCGUUAAUCGGAAUUACUGGGCGUAAAGCGCGCGUAGGCGGUCUGAUAAGCCGGUUGUGAAAGCCCCGGGCUCAACCUGGGAACGGCAUCCGGAACUGUCAGGCUAGAGUGCAGGAGAGGAAAGUAGAAUUCCCGGUGUAGCGGUGAAAUGCGUAGAGAUCGGGAGGAAUACCAGUGGCGAAGGCGGCCUUCUGGACUGACACUGACGCUGAGGUGCGAAAGCGUGGGUAGCAAACAGGAUUAGAUACCCCAGUAGUC
rnacentral:rRNA from 1 species